rnacentral:rRNA from 1 species
GAUGAACGCUAGCUACAGGCUUAACACAUGCAAGUCGCGGGGCAGCAUGGGGGUUGCUUGCAACCCCUGAUGGCGACCGGCGCACGGGUGAGUAACGCGUAUCCAACCUGCCCUUCACCACGGGAUAACCCGGCGAAAGUCGGACUAAUACCGUAUGUUGUCCAUUGACGGCAUCCGAUUUGGACGAAAGGCUUGGCGGGGUAAGGAUGGGGAUGCGUCCGAUUAGCUUGACGGCGGGGUAACGGCCCACCGUGGCUACGAUCGGGAGGGGUUCUGAGAGGAAGGUCCCCCACACUGGAACUGAGACACGGUCCAGACUCCUACGGGAGGCAGCAGUGAGGAAUAUUGGUCAAUGGGCGUAAGCCUGAACCAGCCAAGUAGCGUGCAGGAUGACGGCCCUAUGGGUUGUAAACUGCUUUUAUGCGGGGAUAAAGUGGCCCACGUGUGGGCUUUUGCAGGUACCGCAUGAAUAAGGACCGGCUAAUUCCGUG